UACGUAGGGUGCAAGCGUUGUCCGGAAUUAUUGGGCGUAAAGGGCUCGUAGGCGGUCUGUCACGUCGGGAGUGAAAACUCGGGGCUUAACCCCGAGCCUGCUUCCGAUACGGGCAGACUAGAGGUAUGCAGGGGAGAAUGGAAUUCCUGGUGUAGCGGUGAAAUGCGCAGAUAUCAGGAGGAACACCGGUGGCGAAGGCGGUUCUCUGGGCAUUACCUGACGCUGAGGACGAAAGUGUGGGGAGCGAACAGG
rnacentral:rRNA from 1 species